UCCGAGGAUGCGCAUAGCUGACAUUCUGUAAAGUGACCAGGUCAGGGGACAUUAAGUAGUUGGUACACCAAGGUCAAGGUCUGAAGCAAAGGGUGAAAUGACAAGUUAGUAGUAACAUUUAUGAGGCAAUGGACAGAAGACGGCGUGUGGCCUUGAUAGGCAGUAGUCAGCAAAGUUCCAUAAGAGAGCGAGCGAAGGUGGCAAAGAAAUGGGGCCAGAAGUCAACUUGCAUUAGAAAAUGUGCUAUUACCAAGAAGCAUGUCACCAAGACAACCGAAUAGAACUGUCCAGAGUAUGUCCUUCUGCAGAAAUAUCAAUUGAGACAACUAUCCAGGCAUGAAAUACCUUCAUAAGAACUAAACAAAACAGGGAAAGCUCCUUAAACCAGAAGAGAGUUGUGGCAAAAAAAGACACACUCAACCAAGAGUUGCGAUGAAAGCAAUGUGUCACAUGAAUUGCCAAUACUUACACUAGUUAAAAGAAGAAAGAAACAAAAGAAAAUAGAGCAUCAUUAUAUAAAAGAGUCAACUUAUCAAGCAGAACCAUCCCUUUAUUCUUCUUCUUUCCCCUACAAUGAAGUGAUUCUUUACAACAUCCUGUGCUCCUUUUAAAGCCCAUUGGUUCCUUGUGGUGCUGUCAGAAUGUACAUGAGGAACGUCUACUGAAGAAAGGAAAGCCUCUCAGAAGCCAAAUACCUGAAGAAAACUCACUCUGCCUCUCAUAAGAAUCCAUCAGUGGCCAAUAUCACCUCAGUGUUUCCACAGGACGUAUCCCAGAUGAUUGAGUCGGGGGAAAGUCUACAAAAGUUUGGAUGUUGAUUAUUUCCUAAUAUCCCAGAAAUGAGAGGAAAGCCUAAACAUGAUCUAGGAUUAAGGAUACCAGCUUUUGCAGAAGAACUAAAACAACUACCCAUGUCUAAACAAGCAACUACUAGACUCUUGGGCUUCCCAUUCACAACUGCCCAUUGUUGGGUUAGCUGGACUACUGACUAGUCACCAGCCAACAAACAGGCAUUAAAUUCACCAUCCUAAGGAAAUUAUUCAUACUCAAAACAUAACAGCCAAAAGUCAUGCACUUGAAGACUUCUGUCUCUACUCCUCUAUUCUACGGAUAAAGUGAAACCAUAACUUUCAGGAAAAGAAAACAUGAGAAUGUAGAUUACAAAAGUCGGAACUGACAAAAUACAUAAAGACCAUGGGAUGGAAUUUACAUUUUGAGGAUGGCAGAGUAAUGAAUCAGAAAGAGCCUUUGACACCAACGACUCACAGGAAGUCCCAACAUGUCUCCUUAAUAUCUUCAUAGUGGUCAUAUCAUUUGAAUAUGAAGAAGAAAAAGAGCAGGUGGAGGUAUUCAACCAUGCCGUCAAUCAACUAUGCAAUGCAACUAUGCAAUGACCAAUUAAAAGAAUAAGAAAUCUAAAUGAAUAGAUCUUUUAUUAUUAAUUUCAUUUAAUACUGGUUAAGCAAGAGAGACAGUUGAAUUAGGGUUUUUAAAA
rnacentral:sRNA from 1 species